rnacentral:lncRNA from 1 species
ACUUGGUAGACUGGUUUUAAGCAUGGAAGGAUUUAAAUAGAUCAAACCGGCUUCUCUGUUGAGUGAGAAUUGCAGGAAGCCUUAUUCAGAGGUAAGAGAUGCCGGUGGUUUGGGCAAGGGUGAUGUUGGAGAAAGGUGGGUGGAUUUUAGAGUAAAAUUAUCUCGUGAAUUAAAAUUAUCUAGAAAUGAUGAUGGAUUUGGUUAAGGAAUGAGGGGAAGGUAAGGAGUAAUUUCAAAGGUAAUAAUAAUAGCUAAUAUGGUGCCAGGCAUCAUUCUAAGUCUUUACAUAUAUUAGCUUUACAUAUAUUAGCUCAUUUAAUCCAUGAAGGACAAUGUAUGAUUUUCCUCACUUUAUAAAGGAGUAACUUGAGGCACAAAAAGUUUAAAUACCUUGUCCAAGGUUCCAUAGCACACAGUCUGAGUUGAGAUGUGAACACAGAGCCUGAGGUUCAAGUCCUUUUUCUAAACCAGUGAUUCUCAAAGGAGACAUUGUUGGUUGUCACAGCUGGGGCUGGAGUGCUACUGAUAUCUAGGGAUAGAGGACAGAGAUGCUGCUAAAUAUCCUACAAUGCACAAGAUAGUCCCCACGACAAGAAAUUACCCAGCCCAAAAUGUCAGUAGUGCCCAGGUUGAGAAACCCUGUUGCAAAUUGCUACAUUAUAUUAAUACUACCUACUGAGGGUAGCCGGUAGGCUUCUUAGACAACUGGUUUACCAAUACUGGGCGAAGACCAGUUUGAGGGAGACUGAGUUGCUUUCUGGACACAUCCAGUUGAGGUCCUUUAAGGCACCUAGGAAGAUAGGGCAAGUAAACUGCUGGAUGCUCGCUUGGCUUUGUAAUUCAGAGAGGUCUGGCACUGCUUGGAGUAGGUUUCUAUUCCUGGCAACUGCAUACACCAAAAUAUCUCCUGUAUUUUUAUAGUGUAUUUGUUUGUUUGUUUAUACCCCCACCCUCUUCCAGAAAGGAUGCAAAGCUGCUUAGGAGGAUAAGGAACACGCAAGAGUCUGAUGUAAGUUAAAAGUAGGACAAAGGAACACAUUCACAUAAGGGUGGAGACAUAGGAUGGAGCCAGCAAUGAGGCUAAAAGGAACCCUAAUCCCAUUCCUGGCAGCUGCAGGGCUCUUCUUACAAUCUUACUGGACUCCUUUAUCCCAGUCUCUGCUGAGAUCUCUGCCUCCUCUCCAGGAGAUGAACCCCAAUCCUCACCUCUUGGCUGCCCUGCAGCUGAGAUGAAAACUGAAUGUGCUUACUGUCUUUUAGGUUCCUGGCACCUAGUGGGAGAACAAUACAUAGUUGUAGAGAGAAACUCCAGGGAUGGGGUUGUGAACAAGACCCAAAGCCUCCCCCAUAGAGCUUCCUUUUGAAUGGGGGAGACAAACCAAAAAGGGGAGCAACCGUUGAUAUGAGCAUUCGUGCUUUGUUUUGCUUAUCAGAUAAUUUAAUAGCUAGUUCCAAGGCGUCUUUCAUGCUAUAAAGAAACAAAAAAGGACCCAAGAAAAAAUGAUGAGGAGAAGUAUGGUGGUUGGGGAAGCCUCUGUGAGAAGGUGAUAUGCAAGCUGAGACCUAGAAGAGGAGAAGGGACAGAGUUUCAUAGAGUCGGGUGAAGGCAUUCCAACCAGGAAACAGCGUGGACAGAUAGCCCUGGAUGGGAAACAACUAUGGUCUUUGAGAAACCGGGAAGAGGCCAGCAGGCCUGAAGCAGGAUGAGUGAAGAGAGAGGGUGGGAAAACAGCCAGGACCUUGCAGGCAUAGGAAAGAGUUUGGGUUUUAUUUCAAGUGCAGUAAGGAGCUAUGGAAGGACUACGUGGCAGAGAUCAACAAUUGUCCACAAGUAUCCAUUCUCCCCUUUGUCCUGAUUCAUAAAAUCCACAAGGUUGAACUGGGCAUGUGGCUGCCUGGAAUAAGAACAACUUUUCCCAGCCUCUUUUGCAGAUGUGGUCAUGUGACUUAAGCUCUGGCUGCUAGAAUCCAAGCUGGGGUGGUGUAUGCAACUUCUGAGUAGUAUCUUUGAAAGGGGGAUGUGUGUCCCCACUCCUCCUUGCUGCUAUGUGGGGUAUAGAUUAAAUGGCUGGAACCCCAGCACCAUCUCAGACUCUGAAGUGACCUUGGAAAUAAAAGCCAGGAUUGGAGAUGCCACAAUGUAGACAGAGCCUGGAUUCCUGACUCCGUUGAACUGCCAUAGUCUCAGGUAGCCAGCUGCCAGAUGCUUCUGGGAGGGAGGGAAAAGCAUCUAUCUUGCUGAAGCCACUGUUAGUGUGCAUUUUCUGUCACAGCUAAACCUAAUUCUAACUGAUAAAGGCUUUCAGGAGGAACCACAUGAUUCCGUUUAUCACAUCAGAAGCUCCCUUAGGCCCUUGUGAGGAGCAGAAGAUUGAAAGGGAGUGAGUACAGAGCAGGGAGAUAGGGGCAGAGGCUGCUGCAAUCAUCCAGGCAAAUGAAUGAACAAAUGAAUGAAUGAAUUGUAACCGGACCCAGGUUCAGUUGCUCUCUGCUUGAAAGCCAAAACUCAAGAAAUGAGACUUGGUGGGAGGAAAAACAGGUUUUUCGGGAAGCCAGCAAACGGAGAAAAUGGUAGACUACCAUCCUAAAAUGCCAUCUUAAGUCAGCACAAAUUUCAGGCUUUUUUUUAUGUUAAGGGCAGGGGAAGAAGAGGGAGUUGGGAUCAAGAUGUGACUGAUGACUGCAGACCUCUGGGUGCCAGUGAGGGCCUGAGGAGUUUGGGAACUUCUUUGUCCUUGGUCAGGUCACAAUGCUCCUGUAAAUCUUUAACAAAACACAGUUGUUUACAUACUUUCCCUUUAACCCCAGAGUUAUUUUUUAAAACUACAUAAUUGCUGUUUUUGUGUAUUAUCUAUAUGGAUCUUUAACAAAACAUGAUUGUUUACAUACUUUCCCUAUAACCCCAGAGUUGGCUUUUAAAACUACAUGAUUGCUGUUUUUGUGUAUUAUCUCAGUGCUCUAAAAUUAUCCUAGCCUACACGCGGGCAUGGGUUAAAGCCCCUUACACAAAUACGGUGAGUGUUACAUUCUUUUGCUGUUUCGCUGUUGCUGAAUGAAUGACUGAAUGAAAGCAUCUCCCAAGGCUGCCUGCUUGCUUACCUUCUCACAUGAUGCUUCUUUGCCUCUCUGUUCCUUAAGGAGCUUUCCCUCCCUUCUUUCUUGCCCCACAGUCCCCAAACUCACCAGUGUGGGCAGAAGGAGAAAAGGAAUGUUCUAUCCAGCCCCAUACCCCAGCACCUGCUGGGCAACUUUGUCUUCCCUUCUGCAAAAGAAAAGAAGUCCCCUCAAACACAGGAGAGGAUGGGAAAAGGCAUCUCUCUAAGCAGUAACCCUGGCAGGGCCCUUCAGGAUUCCCAAAUUCCCAAUUUAUAGACAGGGAAACUGAUCCCUAGAGAAGGGAAGGGACUUGCCCAUGUCCACACAGCAUGUUAGUGGGACACAUCAUGAAACAUAAAAGCAGGAAGAGGGUCUAGAAACCAUCUAGCCCUACCCCCUCAUUUAGAGAAAGGAAAACCGAGGCCCAGAGAGGGAGAGUUAGUGACAGAGCCACAACAAGAACUCAGAAGAGGGUCAGCUGGUGUGCAACCAGCUCAGUGACACAAAAGCCUGUGCUAGGGAUUUAAUGUUCUACUGUCGUGUCUUGAAAUUCUUCAUAUCUUAUCUGUAAAUGUGUAGUUUGUAAAUGAAGUCUGUGAGAUAACACAGCAGGCACCCAGGCCAACAGCCUCAGUUCAAGUGCAGUCCGGCCCCUCCCUCACCAGGUGGGUUCUCAGUGCCAGCUUCCCCAACCCCCUGCUAUCUCCUCCUCACAUCCCUUCUUCUCUCUCUUCCCCCCAACAGCUGCCAGUCUGCUAUCUGCAGGGCACUGGCACGGGAGGCUGAGCAUGCACAUCCCACAGCAUUUGGGUAGGACACGACUGCAGCCAUGCCUGCCCUAGAGGUUGAUGACAUCGUGGUGCCUUCAAGGGGGGAAACUGGCAGGGCAAGCCUUUCCCCUAUGCUAGAGCCUCUGACAUGGAGGUUGCAAGAUGUGGGGGUACCUGUCCACCAUGGAUUGGGGUGAAGGGCCUGUGGGAAAGGAGGAUGCCUGGCUUCCCUUCUCCGGGUCCUCUUGCCUCAGUGUAGGGGACCUGGCAGCAGAUGGGCACUGGUGGGCCACACUGCAGGGGAAGGCUCCUGGGUGCCUUGAGGGCCUCCGUGCUCCUCUCCAGUAGCUCCAUGCCCAAGGUAGCAUAGCAUUAAAUAGCAAAUACACAGCACAAGAGGGGCCACAGAAGUGGGGUGGGGCUUUAUGUUUGGGUACCUCUCUCCUGCCUGUGGAACAAAAGGCUUGUGUUUGCAAUGUGCCCUGGGCUGUCACAUUAGGUAGCUGUCCUGACUCAGGACUUCUGUUGCUCUGGCCACCAGCCCCCAGCACUCAGCACCGCUGGACAACACCGGUGUAUUCACGUUCAGUCUAGUGCGUUCCCGGCCCUGUGCUGGGCCUCUUUUCCCUGUUUUCUUGUUUGCAGCCUUGUCGUAACUGAGUGAGGUGUGCACUAUUAUUAGACUCAUUUUACAGGUGAGGAAAGACAGCUGCCCAUAGGCUGAGUUAACUUGUCCACGUCCUCCACCAGGGAAGCAAGAGAGCCAAGCUCCCCACCCAGGUGGCCUGGUGCUCCUGUCCUGGCCCGACAUGCGGGCAGUCGGGCCGUCGGGAAAGGAAAGCGCAGUGUAGAGGAGCUGCUUCUCACCGCCUCUCCUCCCCUCCCCACCUUCCCCGGGAACUCAUGCCCCUCCCCUGCACUCCUGCUCCUUGCCGGCUCGCCCUGGGCCGCUCCGAAGGGAGGAGACCACGUGACCCAGGUCACCGGUAACCAGGCAACCGUUCCAAGACACUGCUUUUCAUCCACUCUGGCUUCUACCUUAUUCAAUAUCUGCCAGGCGGGCAAGGCUCCUGGGAGCAUCCCUGAAGCCAUUUCUCUGGGCCAGGAGCCAGCUGUUCCCAAAAUGGCCACGAUGCCUCAGGAGGGAGGUUGACACCCUGUGCUCUCAGAAGCAGCUCAGAGCUCAGAGGCAGACCUCUACUCAUGCAAUUCUGCCUUCUGUGCAUGCAAUGGAUUGCUGCCAUCUCCAAUCAGCCACAAUGGGAGGCCACCUGCUAGACAUGGAAGAGCCACCGGAUGGAAGAAGCCUGGGUCUCUGAAAUACUGCUUGGAGUAGACUACUCUGCCUGCAAACUAGGAGCACUGAUUUUGGACUUUUUGGGAGGGACUUCUAUGCCCUCUGCAGUUUGCCUCUUCCUCUGCUAUUUUUUCAUGUAUGUGUAUGUUUUUUGCCUGUAUUUGCAAUGCCAGCCAUCAUUUGCCAUGUCUUCUAGCGGCAACCUGCAUUUAGCCCAGAUCUGCUGUGAUUAUUCCUUUUCACAAACCACAAUGACUCUGGAAAACCUGGCUGUAAACACCAGCACUGCCACCAGCUAAGGAUCUGUGAUCAGGAGUGCCAUCUCACGGUAACAGGCAGAAGACAAAAGUGAAACCGGGCUGAUGCGAAUCACUGGGAAACUGGCUUUGGCACCUCCAGAGAAUGAACUGUUUCAUAGCCUAGCUGACCAUCCAUGAAAAUGGCUGCCUGGAGAGGCAGUGAUCAGCCCAUCCCUGCAGGGUGAAGAUAAGCUUGUGCAGGCCACUGGCUAACACAGUUCAUCCCAUGCCUCCUACAUACCAAGCACUGUGCCAGGCACUUUUCACGUCUGGCAUCCUCAGAAUCCUCCAAAAGGAGAGGUUCGUGGAGGAUAAUGCUGUCAGGCUUGGAAGCAGCAGUAGAGAUCACGUUGCCCAGCUCUUGGCAUCAUUGGUUCCCAAAGCUCUGAAUCCCCUGGAGAGCUUUUGUAAAAGGUCGGAUUCAGACAAUCCGGUGGAGCACUCUGAAAUUUAGAGGAAGUGGUCAAAUAGAAUUUUCUGGAAUUAUGGAAAUCUUCUAUUCUGUGCAUCUAGUAUAGUAGAAUCUAGUCACAUGUGGCUUUUGAGAACUGGAAAUAUGGCUAAUGCAACAGAGAAAGUGAAUUUUUACUUUUGAUUCAUUUAAAUAUAAAUGGUCACAUAUGACAUCACUGCCAUAUUGGACAUUGCAGUUCUGGAAGAUGGCAGAUGCAGCCCUCAGAAGAAUUAUCAGCCUGAAUGUCUGGGCGGAGCAGAGCACUACCUUCCCACUCACUCUUCCCCUCCUCUCGCCCCCUCCCCUGCCUCACUUGCAUCAGAUUAUGAUGUGAGCAAAAGCAGGAAACAGCUCUUUUGAUAGGCCUGUGAGACUUGCUGUUCGUUGGAGUAGCUAGGCUGCUCUGACUCAUACAGACCCAAAUCCUGGCAACCACUUUUAUGAAGAAAUGACAAUUCAGUCUACUACUUGUCCAUUUUACAUGCCCAAGGAAUGUGAGGGGCCUCUGCUUGGAUCUAGUUUUCAACCUAGUCUAUGGCAUUGAUUAUCCUUUUAAAAGACAAAAGAGGUGACUUCACGGGCACUUAACAUCUUGGCCAUACUGACCCCAGUUGCACGCUACGUAGGAAGUUUUAGUCCAUUUAAACUGAAGUUCCAAUUUUUUUUUUAACAACUAUUUAAAAAUUGUACAUGUCCCAUACAUGACAGAGAAAGGGUUGUCUGGUUGGAUGAUUUUUGGCUUGCAAAAAGAGAACACAAAAGAAAAGCAUACGUUUUAAUACUCAAGAGACCAAAUUUUCUGCUGAAGAGGAAAUGAACUACAUAUCCAGAAGGGUCCUACCAAGAGGCCAAACAGACUGUGUUCUCUUGGGGGAGUUCUCAGUGGUGAUGAGAACACCACUUUUUUUUUUUUUUUAGUCAUUUUCAAGGUGAGAUAUUGACUUGCUGCUGGAGCAGGACAACUGGUCUCUCUUUCAUUGCUAGCAGCAGAGUAAGGGUCUUGCAAGUUUCAGGCAGCAGCAGAGAAAGGGUCUUGCAAGUUUCAGUCCAAAGCAAGAAGAGCUAGGAUUGCACCAGCUGUCUCACCUACUCUGUGCUCACCUGUUUCUGGAUGAAGCACGGUGACAUCUGUUUUAUUGUAAAGAGAACCAACUUUGGAAUCAAAUGGAACCUGUAUUAAAAUCCUGAAUCCGUCACUAGCUUGGACAAGUCA